AGCAUCGGUGGUUUAGUGGUAAAAUUAGCCGUUGCCAUCCAUCUUCCUCGUCACGAGGACAGAGAGAUUCGACGAUCGGCUAGCCCCGGGUUCGAUUCCCGGCCGAUGCA
rnacentral:tRNA from 1 species